rnacentral:rRNA from 1 species
UACGUAGGGUGCAAGCGUUGUCCGGAAUUAUUGGGCGUAAAGAGCUCGUAGGCGGUCUGUCACGUCGGAUGUGAAAACUCGGGGCUCAACCCCGAGCCUGCAUUCGAUACGGGCAGACUUGAGUUCGGCAGGGGAGACUGGAAUUCCUGGUGUAGCGGUGAAAUGCGCAGAUAUCAGGAGGAACACCGGUGGCGAAGGCGGCAUCCUGGACCGGUAUUGACGCUGAGGCGCGAAAGCCAGGGGAGCAAACGGG